UACGGAGGGGACUAGCGUUUUUCGGAAUUACUGGGCGUAAAGCGCACGUAGGCGGAUUUGUAAGUCAGGGGUGAAAUCCCGAGGCUCAACCUCGGAACUGCCUUUGAUACUGCGAAUCUCGAGUCCGGAAGAGGUGAGUGGAAUUCCUAGUGUAGAGGUGAAAUUCGUAGAUAUUAGGAAGAACGCCAGUGGCGAAGGCGGCUCACUGGUCCGGUACUGACGCUGAGGUGCGAAAGCGUGGGGAGCAAACAGG
rnacentral:rRNA from 1 species